CUCGGGUGAGCCUGCCAGGGAGGUUGAAGACACCAGAGACAGAAGUACAAAGAUGAUGGCAAAGACUGGGGCUCUUCAGAACCUGGACACUUCCUCCCUUCUUUCCCUUUUAUCCUGUCCAGGCUAGAGCCUAUUGGUUGGGGCCACCCACAUCCAGGGCGGGUUUUCUUCUCAGUUUGUUGACCUACACAUCAAUCAUCCACAGACAUGCUCAGAACCAUGUUUUACUGAUUUGCCAAGCCCUUCUUAACCCAUUCAAGUGGUCACAGCCUGGCUAGUGGUCACAAUUUUCAAAAUGAGCAUAUUAAUAAUGCCUAGGCCAGGGCUCUCUGUCAUGAUUAAAUAAGAUAAUGCAGGCAGCAUAUUCAGUCUGUAGUUUGCCACAUAGUAAGCAUUCCAAAAACACUGUGUAUUAUUUUAUUCAUGUAAAACACAUUUAUUCAGCACCCACUAUAUGCCAGAUGCUGUUCUAAGAGGAAGAGAGGAAGAGCUCAAGCGAAUUUGAAUCACAAAGGAAUACAAGAAAAUGACGAACGGGGAUGACACCUGUCGUCACAUUAGGAGCACCAGCACCUUGUCUCUUUACCUCCACCCCAAUCGUAUUCAAGCAUUUCCUUUACACAGGGUAAACCCAUCCUCCAUCCUCCAUCCUUGGAAUCUGCUCUGCCUGGCCCUCAGAUGCACUUGUUAAUUAACACUCAGCCAGAUCAACACUAUUUCUCAUCAUUUAAUAAUGAACUUGCGCUGUGUUAAGCUUUCAGCUCAAAAAGAAAGACUUUUCUGCUCUUCAGAGGGCUGAGAUUUUGACUUUGAUAUAUCAUUUAUGCACUGCACCCAUUAUUGAUGGGUUACAGCUUUUACACAAGGUGCUGACCUUUUUCAGAUAAAGACAAAACUACAUUGUCCUGAUCUGUUUCUUGUCCAUACUGUUUUCAGAGUACGAGGAAUCCCUGUGUUCUGCGGACUUGGCUGCGAAGCUUCCUUUCUUUGAGAACAAAUGGCAGGAAGGCCCCACUCCUGCGUCGCCGUCGCCGGCUGGGGCGGAGCUGCGCGCAUGUCUUCCCCCCAUGCCGCAGUGCUGUGGCCAGCUUCUCGGCGUCACAGAAAUGUGGAUUUGCAGGAAAACCAAGCAGAUGCCACGGAGACUCCUGCCCUCCUCCUGCCUCCCGGUUUCCUGUUGCUGACUUUGUGCGCAGCGUGCCAAGCGUGUUAGCACCGGUGAGCAGACACAGACCCGCCACAAGUGACUGAGGCCAUGCACGCUGCAAAUUGCACACUUCUGGGUCAUAACGUGGGCCACCGCUGCAGCGGGGUACAGCGGGGUUUCUCUGCCCAGAAGGCCCUGGGCCUUGGCCGCCCCCUCCUCCGAGCCCUGGUGUCUCUCCUGGUUUUGCCUUUUCCAAGCGCAGAGCUGGACUGGCAGUGGUUGGCGUUUCCACACUGGCUUCUUUCCCUCGGGGCACAGCAACG
rnacentral:lncRNA from 1 species